UACGUAGGGGGCAAGCGUUGUCCGGAAUCAUUGGGCGUAAAGAGCGUGUAGGCGGUCCGUUAAGUCGGCUGUGAAAGUCCAAGGCUCAACCUUGGGAUGCCGGUCGAUACUGCCGGACUAGAGUUCGGAAGAGGCGAGUGGAAUUCCUGGUGUAGCGGUGAAAUGCGCAGAUAUCAGGAGGAACACCAAUUGCGAAGGCAGCUCGCUGGGACGUUACUGACGCUGAGACGCGAAAGCGUGGGGAGCGAACAGG
rnacentral:rRNA from 1 species